GCUAGGCAUGGUGGCUCAUGCCUGUAAUCCCAGCAGCUCGGGAGGCUGAGGCAGGAGGACUGCGAGUUCAAAGCCAACCUCAGCAAUAUAUUGAGGCACUUAGCAACUCAGUGAGACCUGGUCUCUA
rnacentral:sRNA from 1 species